GAUGAACGCUGGCGGCGUGCCUAAUACAUGCAAGUCGAGCGAACAGAUGAGGAGCUUGCUCCUCUGACGUUAGCGGCGGACGGGUGAGUAACACGUGGAUAACCUACCUAUAAGACUGGGAUAACUUCGGGAAACCGGGGCUAAUACCGGAUAAUAUAUUGAACCGCAUGGUUCAAUAGUGAAAGACGGUUUUGCUGUCACUUAUAGAUGGAUCCGCGCCGCAUUAGCUAGUUGGUAAGGUAACGGCUUACCAAGGCAACGAUGCGUAGCCGACCUGAGAGGGUGAUAGGCCACACUGGAACUGAGACACGGUCCAGACUCCUACGGGAGGCAGCAGUAGGGAAUCUUCCGCAAUGGGCGAAAGCCUGACGGAGCAACGCCGCGUGAGUGAUGAAGGUCUUCGGAUCGUAAAACUCUGUUAUUAGGGAAGAACAAAUGUGUAAGUAACUAUGCACGUCUUGACGGUACCUAAUCAGAAAGCCACGGCUAACUACGUG
rnacentral:rRNA from 1 species